AGCGUAUAUUAAAGUUGUUGCAGUUAAAAAGCUCGUAGUUGAAUUUCGGGAUUUAUCCGUUGGUCGGGCUUUUGGGUCUGUACUGGCGUGAUGGAUUUCUACCUUCUGAAUAACCGGCAUGUCAUUAAUUUGGUGCGCCGGGGAAGCAGGACUGUUACCUUGAAAAAUUAGAGUGCUUAAAGCAGGCUAUUGCCUGAAUACAUUAGCAUGGAAUAAUGAAAUAGGACGGCAUGGUUCUAUUUUGUUGGUUUCUAGGAUCACCGUAAUGAUUAAUAGGGAUAGUUGGGGGCAUUAGUAUUCAAUUGUCAGAGGUGAAAUUCUUGGAUUUAUUGAAGACUAACUUCUGCGAAAGCAUUUGCCAAGGAUGUUUUCAUUAAUCAAGAACGAAAGUUAGGGGAUCGAAGACGAUCAGAUACCGUCGUAGUCUUAACCAUAAACUAUGCCGACUAGGGAUCGGACGAUGUUAAUUUUUUAAUGACUCGUUC
rnacentral:rRNA from 1 species